CGGGCCCAGUUCAGUGUUCACAGACUCUGUGGCACAUAGAAGUGCCCCGCCCCUCCCUGCCACGUCUGCCGGGUGAGGGCUGAGGAUGCAGAGACUCCUGGGUGACUCAGAAGGCUCCUCACAGCAAGGUCAGCCCUUUCAGUUUGAAGAUGCGUGGGAAAAAUCUCCUCUUGCCACCCACACACAUCUGAAGAGCAAACAGAUGGUGAAACCAGUAGCCCAAGAUGAGAAAACGGACUUUUUUUGAGACAGCAGUUGAAGCUGAAGCCUCAAAAGCCGGGCGGGGGGAAAGCAUAGCGAUUAUGAAAGACAUUCAAAGUGGGUUAGGGGUGAGAGAAAGGUCAGCCUUUUACUUUUCCCACACCCGCUGUUUUCUGAAGAAGGAUGGUAAUGCGAGCAGAAGGGUGAUGGCCAACCUCUGGGCUUUGAUGUGUGUCCCCUCCUCCCGCCCCCAUCCUGCAAGCUCUGGGGAGGUCGGAGACUAGUGUGGUUUCCUCACACCUCCCACCAUGCUGGCACUGAGGUUAUCUAAGAGUUGACAGCCCCAUCUAAAGCCUUGAAUGAAUUAAGUCUUUUUUAGCUAAAAAAUGAACAAAACCUGAGAUGCAUGAGUGUCCUUACCAAAAGGAAGUCCUCGUUUCUAGGACAGGUCUGUCUUCGGGCCUGUGGGUCCAUAGAAUCAUCACAGAAAAAAUGAUUUCAGGAGGUCUCCCCCGCUUUCUGCUCCCAAGGCCGACUCUGACUGAGCCUCGGAGGAGAGAAGGAAGCCAUUUCUGGGAGGCCAAAACGUCCGUCUUCCAGGCUCUUGCUGUAAGUCAGCCCGCUUUUACAGAUGAGGAACCAAGACCCAGGGAAGAUGCUUCCUAGAGGCCAGAGUUCACAGUUUGUGCAUUAAUCACAAGGGAAGGCAGAGAAAAUCCAUCAAGUUGUACCCUACCCACCCUUUGGUGACUUUUCCAAGAAGCUGGGCUAAGUUCCAGGAGAAAGCUCUGCUAGAGUGCAAUGGCACCAUCUCGGCUCAUCGCAACCUCCGCCUUCCAGGUUCAAGCGAUUCUCCUGCCUCAGCCUCCUGAAUAGCUGUGAUUACAGGCAUGUGCCACCACACCUGGCAAAUUUUGUAUUUUUGGUAGAGACGGGAUUCCUCCUUGUUGGUCAGGCUGGUCUCGAACUCCUGACCUCAGGUGAUCCGCCUGCCUCAGCCUCCCAAUGUGCUGGGAUUACAGGUGUGAACCACCGCACCUGGCCGGAGAUGCAGAUUUGAUGGUCAUCCUCAGAUGCAACAGAUGAAACCCUGGGAAUGAAUGGAAUUACACAGCCAAGGGGGAUACAUGGUAAAACAAAGCAGCUGAGGAGAAUUUUCAAGGGAUACCAAUGUUCAGGGGUGUGUAGCAGAGGAGCCAAACAUGGACAGCAAGAAACCACAGAAAGGAGAGGGCAGAGUAGCAAAAGCCCAGGAAACCGUAAAGGAGGAGGUGUCCAUAGUGUAAAAUGGUGCAGACCUGAGACAAGGCAUUCAAUCUGGCAGCCAUCAGCUCAUUUGAUGGCUUUUGAGAAGUCUGUUUCAGUAGGGAGGAGGAGAAGAAAGCCAAAAUGCAGAGUGAAUGACAGGUGAAGUGCAAGAAGUCAAUAGAAGCCACUCUCUGGAGGAGUUUAGCAAUAAAGAGGAGAAGAAGUUAGGGCAGCUGACUAUAGAAAAGGUGUGGACAAAGAAAGGGUUGGUUUAGCAUUGUUUAUGGAUUAUCAUUGUUUAUGGUUUGUCAUUGUUUUCUUUUUCAAUGUGGAGGAGACUUGAGAAUGACUUUAAACUGAGGAAGGAUCAAAGAAAAGGGAAGAAAAUGAAGAUAUAGAGCCAAAAAGAAAAAUCUUAAGGGAUAAUUGAUGGAGCUUGGUCCUAGCAGAGGUAGAAGGGCUUAGAUGAGAAUGGGAUCUAGUUAACCCUGGACAAGAGUUCUUGCGAAUCAGUAGAGCAAGAAGAGAAGAAAAUACAUGGGUGUCCUAGAGGAAAAGAUGAGAGCUUAGAAUCUUUUUGUAGCCCCAUGACACUUAUUACACAUUUAAUAAUUUUGUUCUCUAUAUCUGUGAAAAGAGUAAAUAGUAAACCAUGAAUGAUAAUCAUUGCUCUCAAAGUAAGUCACACCAAAAUUUCUAUGCACCUUGCCUCAAAAAAAGAUGUUUCCCCUAGUGUAGCAAGAAAGUGAACCUAAUGUUCAUAAUAUUCCUACAUGAUAUAACUUUGUGUCCCUCAAAAAAUAUAUGGUGAUUUUCUGUUUAAUUUUGCUAUUAAAUAUCUGAAUGGGACCUGCCCAGUGCAUCUAAUUCAAAUCAAAGAAAUUUUGACAGGACUUUACCAAAGCCAAGCAUGCCUGCUCAAAGAAAGCUCAUGAAAAGGGUUAUGAAACAAUGAAUCGACCACAAGUAAAGCCCUUCCAUCUGUUCCACCUACCCCACCUUCAGUGUGAAAGGCCUGGGUCUCUUCAGCCAUCUGGAGAAAAAAAGAAGAAAAAGCUAAAAAUAGUGGGCUGCAACCAAAAUGAAAGUAUCUAAAUGUUGGUAACAGUGUUUGAAGAGGAAAGGGCAUGUUCCUUUGAGUGGUUUCCAAUCUAGGUCUCAUGGCCUGAAAUGUCUGCCUAACUUCUGAUUUAAAGAGAACAGAAAUAAAUACUGGCUCUUAGAAAGAAGGUGCCUUGAUUGGGGUGAGCACAUAAAACAAUGGAAAAAGUGACAAAAGCUGCUUUUGUCUUACCUUUUGUUUUCUCUUUUCAUUAUUAAACUGUAAAAGUAAUGCCUGUCUGCUUAAGAAAUAAAUUCAAGUUACAGACACAUAUAAAGUAGGGAUCAACCACCUCCCAUCCCUACUGCCACUCUAGCACCUCUUCCCACAUUUUGAUGUGAGGAAUUUAUUGCUUUACCUUUCCAAAUUUGCAUGUAUGUGUGUUUAUAAAAAUGGGAUCUUACUAUUCUCCAACUUGACUUUUUUUCUUUUCACUAUGUACUAUGGAAAUUUUUCCAUGUCCGUGCACAUGGAUUCUUCCUUGUUCUUUUGACGGCUACAGAAAACUACUCUUUUGUUGCUCCAUAAUUCAUUUAGUCAGUCCCCCAUAAGAGGAUCAUUUAAACUAUCUCAAGACUUUUUACCACAGAAAAAGCUGCUGUAAACAUCUCUGUACAUACAUCUUUGUGGUCUUGUUGUUUCUUAAAUAAAUUCUUAGAAGUGAAGGCAAA